rnacentral:RNase_P_RNA from 1 species
CGAGUCUGCUGGGUCAUCGCCGUCACCACCUAUGUAGGGGCUGGUCUCAGACCAGCCCCUACAUAGGUGGUGAUGGAGGAAAGUCCGGACUUCGCAGGGCACAGUGCUGGCUAACGGCCAGGCGUGGCAACACGACGGAUAGCGCCACAGAAAACAUACCGCCGCGAUCAUUACCGUAGGGGCGUAGCAUGCUACGCCCCUAGGUAAUGAUCGCGGUAAGGGCGAACCGGUGCGGUAAGAGCGCACCAGCGCGGCAGUGAUGCUCGCGGCUCGGCAAGCCCCACUGGAAGCAACGCUAGAUAGUGUGGAGGUAUGGCUCGUACCAUUUGACACACGGGUAAGCGGCACGGGGAAACCCGAAGGUGUCUGGUAACAGGCAUCGCAGAUAGACGAUGGCCUCGGCGCGGGAGACCGCGUUAGACAGCAUCCGGCUUACAGGCAGGCUCGAACA